rnacentral:rRNA from 1 species
CAAUAGCGUAUAUUAAAGUUGUUGCAGUUAAAAAGCUCGUAGUUGGAUUUGUGGCGUACGGUGUGUUCCGGGCACUUGUUGUCUGAGUAACCUGCUGUUGCCAUCCUUGGGUGGAACCUGUGUGGCAUUAGGUUGUCGUGCAGGGGAUGCCCAUCAUUUACUGUGAAAAAAUUAGAGUGUUCAAAGCAGGCUUAUGCCGUUGAAUAUAUUAGCAUGGAAUAAUGAGAUAGGACUUUUUUGCUAUUUUGUUGGUUUGCGCAAAGAGGUAAUGAUUAAUAGGGACAGUUGUGGGUAUUCGUAUUCCAUUGUCAGAGGUGAAAUUCUUGGAUUUUUGGAAGACGAACUACUGCGAAAGCAUUUACCAAGGAUGUUUUCAUUAA